UACGUAGGGUGCGAGCGUUGUCCGGAAUUAUUGGGCGUAAAGGGCUCGUAGGCGGUUUGUUGCGUCGGGAGUGAAAACUCAGGGCUUAACCCUGAGCCUGCUUCCGAUACGGGCAGACUAGAGGUAUGCAGGGGAGAACGGAAUUCCUGGUGUAGCGGUGAAAUGCGCAGAUAUCAGGAGGAACACCGGUGGCGAAGGCGGUUCUCUGGGCAUGUCCUGACGCUGAGGAGCGAAAGUGUGGGGAGCGAACAGG
rnacentral:rRNA from 1 species